UAUCACUAAGCGGAGCACACGGGUCCCUNCCUUGCCCGAGUUGGUAACUUGAAGCACGCNUACUUUAGUUUGGCCCCCCUCUAUGUCCUUGGAACAGGACGUCAUAGAGGGUGAGAAGCCCGUGCGAUGGGGUGUCCAUUCUUUGUAAGUUUCCUUCGACGAGUCGAGUUGUUUGGGAAUGCACCUCUAAGUGGGUGGUAAAUUCCAUCUAAAGCUAAAUAUUGGCGAGAGACCGAUAGCGAACAAGUACAGUGAUGGAAAGAUGAAAAGAACUUUGAAAAGAGAGUGAAAAAGUACGUGAAAUUGUUGAAAGGGAAGGGUAUUUGAUCAGACUUGGUAUUAGAAUAUGGCAGCGCUCGGGUUGUCCUCUAUUCUUUUACUGGGCCAGCAUCGGUUCGGAUGGCAAGAUAAUUACGUUUGAAUGUGGCCUCCUCGGAGUGUUAUACCUUUCGUACAUAUUGCCUGUCUGGGACCGAGGACUGCGUCUUUUGACUAGGAUGCCUGGGCNAUAAUGNAUUAAAUACC
rnacentral:rRNA from 1 species